rnacentral:snRNA from 1 species
UAACUCUGGUUUCUCUUCAUUCCACGCAUAAAUCUUUCGCCUUUUACUAAAGAUUUCCGUGGGGAGGAACAUUACAAUGAGUGUUUAUUGAAUUUGUUUGCACCCCUUCAACAAGGGGUA